UACGUAGGGUGCAAGCGUUGUCCGGAUUCAUUGGGCGUAAAGAGCGUGUAGGCGGCCAGGUAGGUCGGUUGUGAAAACUGGAGGCUCAACCUUCAGACGUCGACCGAAACCAUCUGGCUAGAGUCCGGGAGAGGAGAGUGGAAUUCCUGGUGUAGCGGUGAAAUGCGCAGAUAUCAGGAAGAACACCAAUAGCGAAGGCAGCUCGCUGGGACGGUAUUGACGCUAAGGCGCGAAAGCGUGGGGAGCAAACGGG
rnacentral:rRNA from 1 species